UGGGGGAUAUUGCACAAUGGGCGAAAGCCUGAUGCAGCGACGCCGCGUGGGGGAUGAAGGCCUUCGGGUUGUAAACUUCUUUUGCUCUGAACAAGGCAUGCUAAUGGGUGUGUUGAGUGUAGGGGUUGAUUAGCGCCGGCUAACUACGUGCCAGCAGCCGCGGUAAUACGUAGGGCGCGAGCGUUGUCCGGAAUUAUUGGGCGUAAAGGGCUUGUAGGUGGCUGGUUGGGUCUGUCGUGGUGGCUAAUGGCUUAGCUGUGGGUUUGCGGUGGGUACGGGCUGGCUGGAGUGCAGUAGGGGAGGCUGGAAUUCCUGGUGUAGCGGUGGAAUGCGCAGAUAUCAGGAUGGAGAACGGUGGCUGAGGCGGGUCUCUGGGCUGUUACUGACACUGAGGAGCGAAAGCAUGGGGAGCGAACAGG
rnacentral:rRNA from 1 species